CUUUUACGAUUAAGUCUCGGCUC
rnacentral:snRNA from 1 species